UACGUAGGGUGCGAGCGUAAUCGGAAUUACUGGGCGUAAAGCGUGCGCAGGCGGUUCGUCAAGUCUGAUGUGAAAGCCCCGGGCUCAACCUGGGAAUGGUAUUGGAUACUAGCGAGCUCGAGUGUGGCAGAGGGGGGUGGAAUUCCGACGUGUAGCAGUGAAAUGCGUAGAGAUGAUGGAGGAACACCGAUGGCGAAGGCAGCCCCCCUGGGCUAACACUGACGCCUCAGGCACGAAAGCGUGGGGAGC
rnacentral:rRNA from 1 species